rnacentral:rRNA from 1 species
UGAGCAACCUGCCCUUGGCUCUGGGAUAACUCCGGGAAACCGGUGCUAAUACCGGAUACGACACGCGAAGGCAUCUUCUGCGUGUAGAAAGAUUUAUCGGCCAGGGAUGGGCUCGCGGCCUAUCAGCUUGUUGGUGGGGUAACGGCCCACCAAGGCGACGACGGGUAGCCGGCCUGAGAGGGCGACCGGCCACACUGGGACUGAGACACGGCCCAGACUCCUACGGGAGGCA